CUGUGUUUAAAUAAGGUUAGAGACGAGUAUAUGAUUGUCCCUUCGGGGACAUCCGAUAAAAUUGGAACGAUACAGAGAAGAUUAGCAUGGCCCCUGCGCAAGGAUGACACGCACAAAUCGAGAAAUGGUCCAAAUUUUUUUUUUCCCUCAAUUUUCUGAUGAUGAAACCCUAGACAGAUCUGUUGGUGCAUUGGUUUUUUUUUUUUCAUCUUAUCAACUUGUAUCCUCUAUUCUACUUAGCUAUUGGGAGUUUCAAGCUUGUAAUUUUGGUUGAAUUUUCCCCAAUGCUUCUCUAUUGUGUCCAUUUCCUUUUCAGGUUCUGAAGGCUAUGAGUUUCUGCAAUUCUGGGUUUUAGCCUUGUAGGGAAUGAGGUGAACGAAUAGAAAGCUGGUUUGGAUCAAAGACACAAGAGGGAGGUUGAAGAGACAUGUUUACUGUUAAGGUUUACAGAUAGAUUUGAUGUUCACCGUUUCUAGAAAGUUUUGGCAAUUUUACUGGAUGGUUGUUUAUGUGGUGUGGAUCAAUUGCGUUAGAUAAAUGUAAGAGCUUUAAAGCUCAGAAGAAUCAAAUGAUUUACUUUCUAGAAUCACAUUCCAUGAGGUCUUUGAAUGAUCCAAGAAGUUUUCCAAUGUUCUAGUUGAAAAAGAUGACCUGAGCGUACUUGUCUCAGAAUCAGACUGUGGUUUACUGUUGGGUCCAUUUACUUUUUGGUUUUUGAAGACUCUAAAGUUUCUGAAAUUUUGGUAAACUUGUAAACCCUUUUGAAUAGGUAAUGAGGGAAGUGUACAGGAAGCUGGUGUAAAUUACAGAUCCUUUAGCGAGGGUGAAGAUACACACGUUUAGGGUGUUGUAAAUUGACAUGAGAGCCAUUAACUUCUUGCAUUUUGAAUUGACAGAAUCAGAGUGUUCUUAUCUCAGGACAACUGCUAGCCUCUCACGGAUAUGGAGCAGGCUCAGGAAUCUACUGAGUUGCAGAGAAGCAUUGAAUGAGAAGUUCAGUUCUCAGUCUCAACAACAACAACAACAAAGGGAAACUAAAGCAAAGAGAUAAAAAGAGUCACAACCUUAGGAUAUGAGCUUUUAAGUUGAUUCUGCAGCAAAAAGAAAGAGAGACUUAAUCUGCUUGCUUUCACUUGGUGGUGAGAUUUUUUUAGUUUUCAGCUUUGUAAUCUUUGUCCUUUGAAAAGUUCCUUCUAUUGUAGACAUGGUGUGUUUACACACUUUACAAGAUUCUUUGAAUUUGUUUGUACUUUACAAGAUUCUUUGAAUUUGUAAUCCUUUAAGUUUAUAAGCUGUGAAGCUUUGUAAUCCA